ensembl:lncRNA
UUUUUUUUUUGAGCUGGCACUUUUAUGAAAUGUUUAUUUAACAGGUCAACCUUGCCUCCUGCCCCCAACCCCAAACUGGAGUUUCUUCUUGUUUCCAUACUGUGUGUGGGUAAUGACAAAAACAGCUGCUGACAAAGCUGAACAGAACAAACUGUUUCAAGAGUAUGGCUAACAAUGGCUUUAGUUAUUGUGUUUUUUUCUUUCUAAAGGCAAAAUAUAAAUAUAUAUUAUACAUAUAUAUAUGUGUGUAUAUAUAUCUAUAUCUAUAAAUAUAUAUCUAUAUAGAUAUAGAUAUAGAUAUACACACAUGCUCUACAGAUCACAGCAAUGGUUUAGACACACUAAAUAAGUUCAAGUGAGAUCUGACAACAGGCACACCCAGGAAACACAAAGUUGACUUGAGCUGCUUCUGGGGCCCUCAUUGCCCCAUCUUCUGGCCACUGGUUGAGUCUUGAGGGAGAAACUUGCCUACUGCCAAGGAAAGGGACAGGAAGAACUGCAGUGUCAUGUUGGAAGGGUGAUGCACAGAAAGCAGCAGGCCGGAAAGUGGCACCCGUUAGACAUUGCUCAGGGCAGCCACCCCAGGGAGGACUUUGCCCUCCAGCAGCUCUAGACUGGCACCACCCCCAGUGCUCACAUGGCUGACUUUGUCCUCAGUGUUCCAUUUGGCACAACAAGUGGCAGUAUCCCCACCACCUAUGAUAGUGAUACAGCCCCUCUUGGUGGCCUCCACCACAUUGUUCAUGAGCUCUUUGGUUCCUGGAACAAAGGCUUCCGGAACACUCAAAUACUCCAACAGGUCCAUUCCACACAAUCUGUUUGGCCCAGGCCACAGCUUCCGCGUACUUCUUGCUGCUCUCGGGGCCACAGUCCAAACCUAUCCAGCCAGCAGGGAUGCCAGAGGCCACUGUGGCUUGGCCAGUCUUGGCAUUCUCAUCAAACUUGUCCGCUGUGACGAAGUCAACAGGCAAAGUGAUCUUGACACCGUUCUUCUCAGCCUUGGCCAUCAGGUCUUUGACAAUCUUAGCCCCCUCUUCAUCAAAAAGAGAAGUUCCAAUCUCCAUGAUGUUGAGCACCUUGAAGAAGGUGAAACCCAUCCCACCACCAAUGAUCAUAUCAUUGACUUUGUCUAGCAUAUUGUUGAUCAACUGGAUUUUAUCGGCAACUUUAGCUCCGCCCAAGAUGGCCAGGAAGGGCCUCUCUGGGCUUUCCAAGGCCUUGGCAAAAUAAGUCAGCUCCUUUUUCAUGAGGAAACCACAUGCCUUCUGGGGCAGGUUUACUCCCACCAUGGAACUGUUGGGCACGGUGAGCAGUACCAAAAGCAUCAUUGACAUAGACAUCCCCCAACUUGGAGAGAGAUGCUUGGAAGGCUUCUACUUUAGCUGGAUCAGCUUUGAUCUUGUUCCCAGAAGCAUCUUUGCCUUUUCCUUCUUCUUCAACAUGGAAGCGAAGAUUCUCCAGCAAAAUGAUAGAACCAUUAGGUGGGUUAGCACAGGCUUUCUCCACUUCUGGACCCACACAACCCUUCAGGAACAGAACAUCUUUGCCCAGCAAGGAUUUAAGCUCUGCAGCCACAGUUUCCAAAGAGAAUUUGUCAGGCAUGGGGACACCAUCAGGUCGGCCUAAGUGGCUCAUCAGAACAACAGAUGUGGCUCCAUUAUCCAAAAAGUAAAGGAUGGUAAGAAGAGCAGCCUUGAUUCUCUGGUUGUUGGUUAUCUCCUUGUUCUUCAUGGGAACAUUAAAAUCUACCCUCAUGAUGACCCUUUUCCCAUUCAGGUCCACUUUGUCCAAGGUCAGUUUGCUGAAAGAGAAAUACUGGUGGCGAGGAGAUGGCGGGGCAGCAGCUGCGGCUGUGGCUGGGCUGCGGUGGCGGGUGGCUGUGGCUGGAGCUCGGGCUGCCUGAGCUAGGGACUGCUCUGCUCACCGG